UCCUGGUGUUGUACUGAGGCACCUGCUGCGUGCGGUAGACGGUGGACACCUGCUGCUGCACCGACGUGCUGGUGACGUACUGGGUCUGGGUGCUGGUGCGCACCACCUCCGAGUAGAUGGUGGUAGUGACGGGCACCACCUGGGUGGAGGUGAUGACUUGGGUCUGUCCCGGCUGGGUGAUGGUUUGGGUGACGGCGUUGGUCCUGUAGACGGUGGUAGUGAGCACGACGUCCUGGCCGGGGAUGACCGCGGUGGAGUAUACGGUGCUGUACUGGGUGCUGUCGAUGGUGCGUGUCUGUCCCGGGAGCUGCUGGGUACUGGUGACGUACUGUGUCC